UCUGUUUGUUUUCGUUCUUUCUACUUUUCUGUCUACCUUUGUUGAAUAUGUUUUGGUUUUUGCCCUUUUUUUUGCUCUUUUGCUUCAUUGUUGUUUCCUUAACAUUAUCGUUUUUUGCUUUUCUAAUUUUAUUACGUUGUUCUCUCGGUAUUCCUAACAACAACUUGUUGUUUCUCUCUCCCUCUGGAGUAAUUCUCGAGGCUGACAUAUAUAUUCUUUUUGGUUUUUGUUUUGCUUUUAAGGAAGAUUUCCCCCCCUCAUAAAUAGGAGCUUUGUAUUGAACUAUGAUCAGAUUUUAAAUAAGUAUUGCGAAAAUGAAACAGAGAUUACUUUUUGUUCUUUUCACAUUGUGGUUUUAUUUUUGUUUUAUAUAUAAUAUGCUAUUAACUAGCACGUUAAUAUUUUGGGCCGGCUCUACAAAAAAAAUGGUUCUGCUCUCUUAAAUUUUGUUUAUAAGAAUUUGUCUCACUAAAAACUUAAUCUUGACAAAGCAUUCCAAUCAGGUGUUACAGUAUAUUAGCAUAAUGAAAAAUAACACAAAGUGACAAUACUCUGAAAAUCCACCAAACCUAAAGGUACUGACUUAAAGCCAAUGUAGAACCAAUAGUUUAAGUUAUGCGUAACCUUAAGAAUUGGGGCUCUGUAAAACUUUAAGGUCGAUUCAUCCUACUAUGCAAAAUAGUUGAAUAGAAAUUUCUUGUAUAUGCUUUCAUAAAUAAUCUUACUGGUUUAGAAAUUUCUUCUAAAAUCUAGGAAAUAAGGUCACAUCCAAAGGACCUAUGCGCACAAACUAAAGGACUAAAAGCCUGGGAACUUCAAAUUUUGAGGAUUCCAGGUCGAACUGCUCCAAUAGGUCAUCAAUCUGUAUGCAUUUUUCAAAAUGGGGUAUAAAUGUUGUUGUAUUAGAGUUACUCAUUUGUCAAUGAUGAGUAUUUUGCUAUAACUGUAAAACUUUCAUUUUUUUUAAUCAUAUACUGGUUUUAGAAGCAACAAACACGCGUCCUUUUUUUAUUUAUUCCCCUAUAUAUUUUCUUUCCCCUUCCCCAAAAACUUUAGUCAUUAUCAUACUUCGGAUCUUUAAUUACCAAUAUUGUUAAGGUUAAAAUUUUCUUGAAUUUAACAGUGGUCGACUUGAAGAGAACGAGUGCAAGCUAAGAUUGUUCAUGUGAUCCGAUGUUUUGGAAAAAUUGCAAAUAUUUGAUCGUUUGCAUGACAUAAUUGGACACUUUUUACCACAAGAUGAGCAAUUAGAUCUUCAUAAAGUGACUUUUUUUGGUCAAGAUAAAGUAAAGUAUUCUUAUUAUUAAUUAUUUCUUUAUUUCUUAUUUGGAAUUGAGGAGUAGUUCUUAUUGUUGUAAUCUUUAAGGAUAGAUAAAAAUAUAUCGAUAUUUAAUCCUUGAAUGAAUAAGUUUAAAAAAUAAUGGAAUGUUUCUUCCAGUUUCCUGCUGAGAAGCUAGAGGGUCUAUAAUAGCUUGACGAAAAAAUAAAGUUUUGAACAUUACAAGGUUUAUCAACGAUGCGUAUGUACCAUGCUCAUUCAGAUCAUGUUAACAAUAGCAAGUAACAUAAAAAAAUUCUUCCCUUCAAAUACACAUUCAUAUUUUGGUGUAUGUGAAGAAAUUACCAACCUCUUGAGUGGAUCUCUUUGAUAGAAAAAAGUACUUCGCACAAGUCAUGUAUGUGUAUAUUAUAAUUGCCUGGUCUAUGACUAUAAUAAAUAUGCUUUGCUUAUAAAGUCUUAAUAUGCACCGUGCUAGAAGAUGUCUUCUUAGUGAUCUAUAUCGCCCCAACAAAUUAAAGUAUUUAUAGACUUGGAGAACCUAUCAUGGAUUUCAUGAGCCAUGAGCCUACCUCAUAUGAAGAGGUCCUUUUCUAGCAAAGAACUAAAACUAUAGAGUUAGUAUCAAUAUAGUAAAAGUGCUUCUUUUUUAUCCAUGGAAUGAUAACUAAUAAGGCGUCAUUGACUAACCACAUAGGUUUCUUCUUCAUUAGUUUUUAUAUGGGCUUAGAUACCAAGUCACUAAAUUUAUAAGCAGUAACUUUGUUGCUACUCUGCUUCAACACUUUCUUAAUAUCAACAAGUAAGCAUGCUAAAGCAAUAUUAUCCUCUGUUUCUAUUUGAAUGAGAAGCUCACCAUAUUGCACCAGUAUUUAUUAUAAUAAUAUAUAUGCAUAGAUCUUUUACAAAUUAGUUCUUGAAGCUUCCAGAAUAAGGCUCCCGCACCAUUAGAUGUCCUAUGCCAAAUUUUGCAGCAUAACUUAUGGUAGUUGAUUUGUAGUUCUUAGCUAUCUAUUUGGUUAUUUUUGCCGUUAUUGUUUGUUCAUUUAUGUGAAGUAACUACUAAACUAAGUACCAUAUUCUUUUUGCAACAUGUAUCUCUUGAAAUGUAUGCUCCUCAAGUCCAUCAUUUUGUACCGUAAAUUUCUAAAAAAGUUAUACUGUUCUAUUUGAAAGUCAGCAAAAGACAAAUAUGUAAUACUAGAAUGAAUUGCAUGGGUGGUUAGACGUUUGAUUGAAAGAGUUUAAACAUUUAAUGAAGUUAACAUAGAAGGCUUGACGAUAUUCAAUAUACUCGAGCAUAGAAAUUAAAUUUUUUUGCAGAGCUUAAUUACUUCCCUCGAUUUAUAGCAAGGCACAAGUUUUCAGUUCAAAAGAAUACAUGUCUCAAAAGAUAUUAAAGCUCCACUCUUUUUUCAAGUUUUGCUACAGUUCAGUUUUGGUCUAAUUGCAGUUUUGCUGCAUUUUUUUUUCUUUUGCAGUUUUGUGUUCAGUAUUUGCUGCAGUUUUGGUCUAGCUAUGAAGUAAUUUAAAUGCAAUAUUUGUCCAGUUUUGAUAAUGUUUUUUAUGGAAUGGAUCUUGAAGAUAUGAAUUAAGGUUUUUUAAAAGGUAGAAGAAGACUGUCGAUCAAGGGAGAGCUUUUUUCAUGUUGGAUAGCCACAUCAUUAAUUAUGUUAUAGUUAAAUAUGUGUGGCAUCUGAUGUGGAGGGUCAUUAGUAGUAAAGGUAUAUGUGGGCCAAAAAUUAGAUGGCAGGGGUAUAAUUGCUGCUAAAAUUUAACGGAGGAUAAAAGUAACAUAUUUUGAAUAGUUCAAGGGUAAAAGUCACAUGAUUGGAGUGCAAUUUCAUUUUAGGAACAUCAACAUUAGUGGUAUUAUCCCUUGAUGCCGUAAAAUAGAGUUCCAAGUAGCUCGAUAUGAAAUCAACGUAUGCUAUCUUCUUUCAUUCAUUCUCAUUGCACUUCACCUAACAGUUUUUUUUUAAAUAUAGUUUUGCUUGGAAUUUGCUUUUAAAUUUGUAUUUCAUUCCGAUGUUUUGCGUGAAAGUACAAGUAGUGGAUUGAUAUACCGUCUUUGCAUAUUUGGUAGGGACUAAUUCACCUGUCCACUUGUAGUUCUUGAUAGUUUGGUUUGCUAUACGUUUAGUUCAGUACAUGAAAUGCACAAGGAUUAUAUGAUUCAUGUGUAUUUAUAAAUGGUAUGAGUACAUGCAUUCACAUAUGUGCUAUCUUUUAACAUAUAUGAAGUAUGUAUUAUGAAUAUGCUUCUGUGAUGACUACUUUCGUCUUCUUCUAUUUUUCUUUGUUUGCUGAUUAUAACUACUGAGCGAAACUCAUAGCAAAAUUUACUUACCAUAGUUGCCGAAGAGUUAAAGUUCCUCCUCCUUCACUUCGAAUGGUAACAGAUAUGAACUAUUCAUCUUGGUACCUCUUUUUGCUCAAUCCCUCAGCAUACCGCUCUCUAUAAAUUUAUGUAAUAUAUCAUUAUGAUGUUAUGCACAUGCUUCAAUUGGUUCUGACAUGCCUGCAGAAAGAGGUACUUUGUACUUUAUGUUGUCUUCAUUUUUAUUUUUGUGCAAGCUAUUUAUUUAAUUGUUUCUCCUGAUUUAAGCAAAUUAGUUUGAUUUCAAUGACAACCUUGAUGUGUUAUGUUCAAUGAUAUGUUUUGUUAUAAUUAUAAUUGUGUGUGUUCAGUAUCUUGGAUGUCAUAGAAAUUUCAUUUAUUCAGAGACUAUAUUAUAUCUCUAAGAUACCCUUUCAUUGGCGGAUGAUUGGUGCAUUUCUUCUUUGAAUUAAACGACUGAUAAAGAAGUUACUUACUUUUACAGGAGACUUCUGAUGUUUUUAUCAUAUUACAAAUUCAUAGAUUUCCUUAAGUUGUGACAUUCUUACCCUGCCCAACCAGUUGAAGCAAGUAAAGACACUAAGACCAAGUAACAAUCAAAGCUUAUAAUAUGGACAAAGAUGUAUGAAUGAAUUGAAUCUCCUAUUUAUCUUGACUUAUUAAUGGUAACUCAGCCAUGCAGUUACAGUAGCUACUUACUAGCAGAAGAUGUUUCAAAAACUAAGUCAUGAACAAGUAGUGCCUUUGGUCUAUUAUUUUGUAUAGUUUAUCUUCGCGAAUUUAAUAUCAUUGAGGGAGUGAGAUUUAUUGUU